ensembl:lncRNA
GCUUUUCUAAGUGAUGACAGAAGAGGAAGAGAAAGCAAAAUUGCAUGCUCAUAUCGAACACAGUGAACAUCAGGCUUAGGUUUGAUGUCCACAGCAGUUCUCUUCCAUGCAAAACCACUGAGAAAUAUCAGAAAGCUCCUUCUGCAGGAUGACACUAACAACAUGUGCCUAGCAAUGCAAUUGGAGGUGACGGUAGAAAGCAUGCCAAAUUCUCUGCUUUGACAUUUCAAUACAUCUCAGUGUGACAUCGGCCCACAGCUCUGCUGUCCCAACGCCUCAACACGCAGCUGAUCUCACCGGUGCACUCCCCUCACCUUGUGAACACAGCAUUCUGCCAGCUGAGCCUUCCUUUCAUUUGGACAGAGACGUGCUGGGACAGCAACCAAUUUAAAAUGACUCUUCCUGACUGCAACAGAUGAUGAAAGAUUAAGAGGGAAGCAGGAUGUGCCUGAAAACACCUUGAAAAAUGACACCAGAGCCACCACCAAUGUACACAUUUACUGUGAAAUGACAGCUUGACUCACCCACCUUGCAGCUCUUCUAUGGUUUAAGAAACAUGGAAAGAAAGAGUAAAAUGAGUUCUUCAGCUAUGCAGAACGAAUAUGAAGAGAGACAGUUCCCAUACCUUAUCAUCUGGUUUGAAUCACAGAACCGUAGAAUCAUUAAGGUUGAAAAAGACCACUAGUCCAACUGUUGAUCCCUCCCCACUGUGCCCACAUGUUCCAGAUAGCAUUCUAGAAUUAUUAAGGUCAGAAGAGAUCGCUAAGAUGACCCAGUCCAACCUCAACCCAUCCCCACCAUGCCCACUAACCAUGUCCCCCCAGUGCCACAUCUCCA